AAUUUGGUGAUUUACAAUAACUUAGCAAAUCGUAUAGUGAAAACUGGCGAUAAAUCAUUCAAGUUUCUGACCUAUCAGCUUUCGACGGUAUGGUAUUGGCUUACCGUGGCAGUGACGGUUAACGGGGGAUUAGGGUUCGAUUCCGGAGAGGGAGCCUGAGAAACGGCUACCACAUCUAAGGAAGGCAGCAGGCGCGCAAAUUACCCAAUUCUAACAGCAUAAGAGAGGUAGUGACAAGAAAUAACAAUACAAGGCAGUUAAAAUGCUUUGUAAUUGGAAUGAUAGAAAUUUAAACACUUUUUAAAGUAUCAAUUGGAGGGCAAGUCUGGUGCCAGCAGCCGCGGUAAUUCCAGCUCCAAUAGCGUAUAUUAAAAUUGUUGCAGUUAAAAAGCUCGUAGUUGAAUUUCUGUUAAAAAUAACCGGUCUGCUUUUAAUAAAAGUGGUAUCUUGGUGUGUUUUUAGCAAUAAUGUCCUUUGAAAUGUUUUUUACUU
rnacentral:rRNA from 1 species